CUUCACACAUUAAUGGAUCAAGAAUCUUUUCUGAUCUUUUGUUGAUUUCUUUCUCAAAGAAAUCCAGCGCUGCCCUUCUCUCUUUCCUCUUUCUCUUUUCUUCUUCUAAGAACUCUUCUUGGAUGUGAGUCUUGUCAAGGCUCUUUUCCUCUUUGAUGCCUAACAAGCAUGGGUGCGAGGGCUUAAGACGUGAAGCCCCAAGGAUGCGUGAAGAGGGCGUGGAACCUAUCCUAGGUAUGUAUCAGAUUUAAUUUAAUGCACGGGCGUAGAAGUUUUACAUGAGGAAAAUCUCUUGCUCAAAAGGCUUAGGUGCACCCUC
rnacentral:lncRNA from 1 species